GUCUACAGCCAUGCCACCCUGAACAAGCCCGAUCCCGUCUGAUCUCGGAAGCUAAGCAGGGUCAGGCCUGGAUAGUACUUGGAUGGGAGACCACCUAGGAAGACUGGCUGCUGUGGGCA
rnacentral:rRNA from 1 species